AGAGUUUGAUCCUGGCUCAGGACGAACGCUGGCGGCGUGCCUAAAACAUGCAAGUCGAACGAGGCCUUUGGCCUAGUGGCGAACGGCGGAGUAAUACAUAAGCAACCUGCCCCGAAGACCGGGAUAGCCCCUUGAAAGAGGGAUUAAUACCGGAUGUUGUCCGAGGAGGGCAUCCUUUUUGGACUAAAACGCGCAAGCGGCUUUGGGAGGGGCUUGUGGCCUAUCACCUUGUUGGUGGGGUAACGGCUCACCAAGGGUUCGACGGGUAGCUGGUCUGAGAGGACGAUCAGCCCGACUGGGACUGAGACACGGCCCAGACUCCUACGGGAGGCAGCAGUUAGGAAUCUUGCGCAAUGGAGGAAACUCUGACGCAGCGACGCCGCGUGCAGGACGAAGUAUUUCGGUAUGUAAACUGCUUUUGCCAGGAAAGAAAUCUGACGGUACCUGGCGAAUAAGCCCCGGCUAACUACGUGCCAGCAGCCGCGGUAAGACGUAGGGGGCGAGCGUUGUCCGGAUUUACUGGGCGUAAAGAGCGCGUAGGCGGCCUGUUAAGUCAGGAGUGAAAUCUCCAGGGCUCAACCCGGAAACUGCUCUUGAUACUAAUAGGCUGGAGUGGCGAAGAGGUGAUUGGAAUUCCCGGUGUAGCGGUGACAUGCAUUGAUAUCGGGAGGAACACCAACGGCGAAGGCAGGUCACUAGUCGCCAACUGACGCUGAGGCGCGAAAGCGUGGGUAGCAAACAGAAUUAGAUACUCUGGUAGUCCACGCCCUAAACGAUGGAUACUAGUCGUCGGGGGUAUCGACCCCCUCGGUGACGUCGCAAACGCACUAAGUAUCCCGCCUGGGGAGUACGGCCGCAAGGUUGAAACUCAAAUGAAUUGACGGGACCCCGCACAAGCGGUGGAGCAUGUGGAUUAAUUCGAUACUAACCGAAGAACCUUACCCAGACUUGACAUCGAUGGUAAGCCGCAGAA
rnacentral:rRNA from 1 species